rnacentral:rRNA from 1 species
GAGUUUGAUUCUGGCUCAGAAUGAACGCGGCGGCGUGCCUAACACAUGCAAGUCGAACGAGAAAGUUCCUUCGGGAAUGAGUAGAGUGGCGCACGGGUGAGUAACGCGUGGGUAAUCUGCCCUUGGAUUUGGGAUAACUUCGCGAAAGCGGAGCUAAUACCGGAUAGUCUGGCUUUGUAAAAGGAGUCGGUAAAGGAUGCCUCUGCAUAUGCAUUCGUCCGAGGAUGAGCCCGCGUCUCAUUAGCUAGUUGGUAGGGUAACGGCCUACCAAGGCGACGAUGAGUAGCUGGUCUGAGAGGAUGAUCAGCCACACUGGGACUGAAACACGGCCCAGACUCCUGCGGGAGGCAGCAGUGGGGAAUAUUGCGCAAUGGGCGAAAGCCUGACGCAGCAACGCCGUGUGAGGGAUGAAGGUUUUCGGAUCGUAAACCUCUGUCAGAAGGGAAGAAGUGAUGCGGGUCCAAUAGGCCCGCAUUUUGACG